rnacentral:rRNA from 1 species
GGAAUAUUGGGCAAUGGGCGAAAGCCUGACCCAGCGACGCCGCGUGAGGGAUGAAGGUCUUCGGAUUGUAAACCCCUUUCAGUAGGGAAGAAGCGAAAGUGACGGUACCUAAAGAAGAAGCACCGGCUAACUAUGUGCCAGCAGCCGCGGUAAUACAUAGGGUGCAAGCGUUGUCCGGAAUUAUUGGGCGUAAAGAGCUCGUAGGUCGUUUGUCGCGUCGAUUGUGAAAAUCUGAGGCUCAACCUCAGACCUGCAGUCGAUACGGGCAAACUAGAGUGUGGUAGGGGAGACUGGAAUUCCUGGUGUAGCGGUGGAAUGCGCAGAUAUCAGGAGGAACACCAAUGGCGAAGGCAGGUCUCUGGGCCAUAACUGACACUGAGGAGCGAAAGUCUGGGGAGCGAACAGGAUUAGAUACCCUGGUAGUCCAGACCGUAAACGGUGGGCACUAGUUGUGGGAACCUUCCACGGUUUCUGCGACGCAGCUAACGCAUUAAGUGCCCCGCCUGGGGAGUACGAUCGCAAGAUUAAAACUCAAAUGAAUUGACGG